CAAAAGGACUGUUUUCCCAUGGUUCCCAGACCUUCUGAAAUGCUUUAGUGACCCCUCUCACACUAGCCAUCAGGUCAUCCAUCAGGUGUAUCUCUCUGACUCUGUUUAUCACCCCUGUAAUGUUGGGGAUACCCUGUUUAAGUCAGACAAAAGCUACAGCCCUUCGUGCAGCCAGGGCUAUUUUGUGAAUAUGUUUCUGUUUGUUCCUGGUCCACCCUUCAGUAGAUCUAUUUUGAUAGAUAUAUCCAGGGGUCUAGGAUGGGUUAAGUCUAUCUGCUUGAAUCUUUGCAAGUAUCUUUAUAUCGUGGUUUAUGAGCGAAAUGGGUCUACCUCCACUGUUCUACCCAGAAGUGGGUAACCGACAACUGUUCUCACACUUCAGAGGUUCGGAUAGAGGCCGCGGGAUUCGAGGCUGGGCGGCAGCAUGCUUCUCUUCAGGUAAGCCAGGACUUCACUCAUUCACCAAUAUGUCUCCUUACUGCAGGCCGUAUUUCCCUUUUUUCCAAAACUGGGCCAACAUCACGGUGAGUGGGUACUGCAGCCCUCUUUGAGCCAUCAAUUUCUCAGUGGACAGCUCUUGUCUUAUCGACUUGGAGCUUCGAGAGCUCAGGCUCAACUGUGCAAUCCAACAGGCCAUGGAUCUUGGAGGAUUUUUCAGCAGCAUCUUCCUCAUGGAUGGUUAUCAACCUCCGAGACUUCAAUGCUAGUGUGGUGUACCACCAUUUCAAAAUGGAAGGUAUCCACCUCUUGCGAGACUUCCUUCAGGAUAAUGACUGUUUCACAAGACUGGAUCUGAAAGGUGCGUAUCUCUCUGGCUGUCAGUUUCUCCGAUUCCUGUGGCAUGGUCAACCAUGGCAAUUUACUUGCCUCCUAUUCGGACUCAGCUCUGCUCCUUGGUGCUUCACCGGUGAUCGUACACCUACGCUCCAGAGGUAAUUGCUGCAUAGUUUACCUAGACGACAUCCUUCUCUUCUGUUUUGAGCGGUUCAGACUACAACAACACACUCAAUUUACGGUGGAACUGUGGUGAACUGACCGAUCGGCACUGGUUCCAUCUGAAACGGUCCAAUUCCUAGGAUUCGAGAUCGACUCCACAUCCUGCACUCCUCUCGUCCUCCACUCAGGCAAUAUUCCCAGGCCCAGUGCACUACUGGGCCUGGGAAUAUUGCCUCAAGGCAAAGUUUCUUUGUCAGAGCCCCACCUACGAUCAACUUGUGCCGGUAAUGGACAAGGUUUGGGAGGAACUCCAUGGUGGCUAGACAGCAUGCAGGUCUGGAACGGCUGAGCCAUUUUCAGAGACAAAUUGAAUUUUGUCCUAGAUUCCAAUGCUAGCUUGUAGGGCUGGAGCACGACCAGUGCAGAAACGUCCAUGGAGGGCGUAUGGACAGCCCAUGAACGCUCGCUGCACAUAAAAUGCCUGUAACUACUGGCGGGCUCGUUUGCCAUUCACAAUCUAGCCCGAGAGAAGUCAGACUAUUGCAUUCAGAUGAGGAUGGACAACGUGUCAGCUUCUCGCAACAAGCCUCAAACUCUGCAGUUCUUAAGUUGGCUGCCAGAUCCAUAGUGCAAGGUGGUGGACACCUUCCUACAGAGCUGGCCAGCCCAGGGGGCCUGCACAUUUCCGCCAUUCACAAUGAUUGUGUGGACCCUCCAUCAUGUCUGGACGCAACGGGUGAAGGUGUCAUGCAAAGAUCCUCCUCCUGCUAUCCUUACCCAACUCUCCUCACAAACCCGAAUGGAAACUCUCACCCCUUGCUACUGGCAGAUUUUUUUCCCCAGGUGGCUUUGACUCUUUCCCCCUGGCAGGUUGGCAAACUAUUGCAGGCUGCAAUGGACCUCCUGUGGGAUUCCUGGGCCCCAGGGAUGAGAUGUUGUUACCUCUCCACUUGGGCAUCCUGGUCCGCUUGGUGCGUGGAAGGAACCUCUAUCAACGCAUGCACCUAUACCCUCCAUUCUGAAUUUUCUCUUGUUUCUCUUUUUCUGUGGGCCGAUCCAAUUGGUCUAUUAACACCGUUCAUUCAGCUAUUUUGGCGGUUCACGUUUCGGUUCGGGAAGUUCUGGUUGGCAAGGUCUCUCUUAUUUGUCGUUUGCUUCAGGGGAUGCGUCUAAGACCCUACUACUCAAUGCUUUGGGAUGUUGGUGUUGUUCUCCUUUGGGGCAAAUUUAUAUUUCUUCUCUGUUUGGUCUCCUUUAGGAGUCUUUUAGACGUUCAGGCGUUUGAUGUAGAUAUUACUUCCCUUUUACAGACUUCCAGACAACUUCUUGUGUCCUACUUCAGGCCAUAUAAUCCUGUGUUGGUCACCACUCUGGCUAGGUGGAUUCGGUGGAUUUUAUCUCUUGUGAGUGUGGACCUCUCGUUUGGUGCGGAUUCGGUGCAGAGUGCGUUGGCUUCAUCUGCAUUUUUCGGCAGGUACAUCGCUGGCGGAUAUCUUGCUUCCUGUGUAUUGGUUUCGGGAGACUACGUUCUGUACUUUUUAUUUCCGUCCUUCUUCUAAUGCUGCAUUUGCCUUACUUCCUCACCAUUAAAAUUGCAAAAUAGGAAUCCUCCUGUCAUGUUGUAAAAUUAAAGAUUAUGCUAUCUUUAGUGUACUAAUAAUCUUAAAUUUAAUAUUGACAGGAGGCAAGUAUUUUCUCAGCCAUUUUCCCUCCCUUGCUUUUUUGGGUUCUCUUUUCUGUAAGAACUUCUUUUUCAGCUAUUCUCGCCUUGAAUUCUUUCUGUGCUAUUUGUUUAACUGUGUCGUUGUAGACUACAAUUUAUUGUUCAUGUACUUGUUUAUCAUUUUUUUCUAGUUAUGUAUUAUUAUCAUAGCUAGUUUGAUUAUUUUACUCAGUUUUGUGUUGGCUCUUUGCUUUUCACCAUCUCUGGACUAGUGUCUAACAUGUUGCACAUUCUAUUUUCAGUUUGAAUCCACUCAGAAGUCUUAUUUGUUUUCGGCUGAUUCCGAUGGUUGUUCUGCUGGACUGUGAUUCUUGAUGUUUAUUGCUAUGCUUUUUUCUUUUUGCUGCUGAUGUUGUUUUCAGAAAGAGGAGGUACUUAUAUAAGAAUCACUAUAACUCUUAUAUACCUUGUUACACAUUCAUUGGUUCUUUUGUUCUAUAAGUUUUCUUUGCUGCUGUGUAGUAAAGAGAGUUUAUGCAAACUAUUCGUCAUUAUUACAAUUAAGAUUAUUAGUACACUAAAGCUAGCAUAAUCUUCAAUUUUGGGUUACAAGCACUAACUCCUUGAAGGGGUUAACCCUAAAUCUAAACAUACAUAAAAGAGAAAAGGAGGAAUAGAUCAAUGGCAACCCAGCUCAUGCGCUGAAUGUAUUAAGGAGAAGGAUAGGGUUGAGGUAGUUUUGGUAUGGGAGACACAUGAUGAGUACGCAUUCAUGCAUCAUGCUUUAUAGCUGGAACCUUUUGAACUGACUCUCUCUGUCUAGAUUACUGGUAUAGAUUGAGGUUGAAGGUCAAUUUAUGGCUUUUUUUGUUCCUGCUCUCCCUCAAUCUUCCAAUUUAAACCAUCAAUGGCUUAGUACUACCUCUAGUCUACAAAAAUGUUUAUGGACAGAUGUAAUUUAGUGUAUUUUUCUUUCUCUCCUUGUGACUGUAUGUUGAAUGGUCAAAUGGGCUUGCUAAGUAUUGAGAACACGUGUAAGUAAGUUAGUCCAUUCUCAGUACUUUUAGAGGGGCUCAGGUAGAUUAGAUGUUUAUUGUUUAUUCAUGUCUUCCUUUGUUGCAUCUACUACUUGUUUUUAAAGUUCUCUGUCCAGUUAUAUCAUUAUAAUGAAGCAUAUCUGUCUAUUGAUAGAAGCUGUCUAUUGGAUAGAUACUCUUCCCACAUUUGAUACACCUAUUUUGUUUUGGAUACCACUUUGUAUUUAGAGGAGUCCCACUUUUAAAGUCUAUAAUAAAGAUUGAGUGUCAGUCGGCAGGUAAGAUGUGAAACCAUUCUUAAAUGGUCCUUAAAUGGGUGUAUUUAGUGUACUCGUGGCAUCAUGACCAAAACAGCACACUACUUUUGUCCAUUUUUUAAAACUUGAUGCCAACUGACAACAAUUUAAUUUUAACAUAAUACAUCCCCAGCUAAUUUGGUUACAAAAUACAUUGCUACAGACUUCUAAUGCUGACUGCUGAACACGGCUCUAAGUGCUCAAGAAAAUGUGUUAGUGAAAUUGUCAUAGAUGCAUUAAUUAUUUGAACGUUGUUGUAACACCACAGUUCACAACAUCAUUGGUGUAAAGUAAGCAUGUUCUAUUCUAGAUGCCGGAUGAACAGCUAGUAUUCAGACACAAUACAAGAAAACUGAGCAAUGAAUAUAAAUGAUAUCUGGGGUAAGGUUAAAAAUAAAAGUGCAGAAAAUUAUAUACUAGACAUGUGCAAUUCGUUUUGUUCCUAAUGUCAAUUCGGACGAAUUUCAGGCAAUUCGGACAUUCGGAUACUUCCGAAUGUCCGAAUAGCUGAUUUGCCGAAGUUACGAAAUGGCCAAAGUGGCAAAGUUCCGAAAUGCGAAGUUCCGAAGCACAGUAUUGCCGAAGUACUAAU